GACGAACGCUGGCGGCGUGCUUAACACAUGCAAGUCGAACGGGAGGAAAAGAGAAGCUUGCUUCUUUUUGAAUCUAGUGGCAAACGGGUGAGUAACACGUAAACAACCUGCCUUCAGGAUGGGGACAACAGACGGAAACGACUGCUAAUACCGAAUGUGUUCCGGAGACCGCAUGAUUUCCGGAAGAAAGGAUGGCCUCUAUUUAUAAGCUAUCGCCUGAAGAGGGGUUUGCGUCUGAUUAGGCAGUUGGUGAGGUAACGGCCCACCAAACCUACGAUCAGUAGCCGGUCUGAGAGGAUGAACGGCCAUACUGGAACUGAGACACGGUCCAGACUCCUACGGGAGGCAGCAGUGGGGAAUCUUCCGCAAUGGACGAAAGUCCGACGGAGCAACGCCGCGUGAGUGAUGACGGCCUUCGGGUUGUAAGACGUCUGUGAUCGGGACGAAUAGGCUGGUAUGGCUAAUACCACUAUC
rnacentral:rRNA from 1 species